CUACGGGGGGCAGCAGUGGGGAAUAUUGCACAAUGGAGGAAACUCUGAUGCAGCAACGCCGCGUGGAGGAUGACACUUUUCGGAGCGUAAACUCCUUUUAUAUAGGAAGAUAAUGACGGUACUAUAUGAAUAAGCACCGGCUAACUCCGUGCCAGCAGCCGCGGUAAUACGGAGGGUGCAAGCGUUACUCGGAAUCACUGGGCGUAAAGAGCGUGUAGGCGGGUUAAUAAGUCAGAAGUGAAAUCCUAUGGCUCAACCAUAGAACUGCUUUUGAAACUGUUAACCUAGAGUGUGGGAGAGGUAGAUGGAAUUUCUGGUGUAGGGGUAACAUCCGUAGAGAUCAGAAGGAAUACCGAUUGCGAAGGCGAUCUACUGGAACAUAACUGACGCUGAGACGCGAAAGCGUGGGGAGCAAACAGGAUUAGAUACCCCGGUAGUC
rnacentral:rRNA from 1 species